AAAACUGUACUUUCAGGGAUCAUUUCUUUAGUUAGUGAUUGGAGAAGGGUGGUUGUGAAAAGCUCAUCUUCCUAGCUAUGAUGAAGGGUUGCAGUGUUUUCUUCUGAGCAUGGAAAUAGCAGAAAAUGCUGUUUUAUGGCAGCUGCUUUCUGCUAUAGAAGAAUAUCUUGUUCUUCCUGAGAAGUGCAGGGAAAGGAUACACAGCCUGAAUGGU
ensembl:snoRNA U3 Small nucleolar RNA U3